UUACAAUAAUAUUAUUUACAGUUACAUUUAUAAAUAAUUAUUUAGGUAAAUAUUUGCAUUUUAGGGAUUUUUCGACUUCACCAGAACCUCCAGAAAAGCCCCCUAUGAAAAAGAGCAUAGUGUCUAUAUAGCUCGUAAAUCCCCGACAGAAAUUGAAGGAGCUCAUGUGAUUCAGGAAGACAGAGAUGUUAAAGUGGAAAUACCUAUUGAUCAGGUUCCAGCUGAGAUCAUCCAGGAUGAGGAGAUUUAUGCAGAUCCUGGGAAUCUAAAAGAGCAGGUUUGUUUUUGUUUUUUGUUGUUAUUUUAAGCAGUGGGUUUUGUAAAAGAUAUGUAA
rnacentral:lncRNA from 1 species